AGAGCGAACGCUGGCGGCAGGCCUAACACAUGCAAGUCGAGCGCCCCGCGAGGGGAGCGGCAGACGGGAGAGUAACACGUGGGAACGUACCCUUCAGUUCGGAACAACCCAGGGAAACUUGGGCUAAUACCGAAUACGUCCGUAAGGAGAAAGAUUUAUCGCUGAAGGAUCGGCCCGCGUCUGAUUAGCUAGUUGGUGAGGUAACGGCUCACCAAGGCUACGAUCAGUAGCUGGUCUGAGAGGAUGAUCAGCCUCACUGGGACUGAGACACGGCCCAGACUCCUACGGGAGGCAGCAGUGGGGAAUAUGGACAAUGGGCGCAAGCCUGAUCCAGCCAUGCCGCGUGGAUGAUGAAGGCCUUAGGGUUGUAAAGUCCUUUCGACGGGGAAGAUAAUGACGGUACCCGUAGAAGAAGCCCCGGCUAACUUCGUGCCAGCAGCCGC
rnacentral:rRNA from 1 species